rnacentral:rRNA from 1 species
GCGGCACGCUUAACACAUGCAAGUUGAACGCAGAAUAGAACUUCGGUUCUAUUGCUGAGUAGCAGACGGGUGAGUAACGCGUGGGAAUCUACCUUCUUGUGAGGAAUAACUGAGGGAAACUUCAGCUAAUACCGCAUAAGCUCUACGGAGGAAAGGCUUCGGCCGCAGGAAGAGGAGCCCGCGUCAGAUUAGGUAGUUGGUGGGGUAAAGGCCUACCAAGCCAAUGAUCUGUAGCUGGUCUGAGAGGAUGAUCAGCCACACUGGGACUGAGACACGGCCCAGACGCCUACGGGAGGCAGCAGUGGGGAAUAUUGGACAAUGGGGGAAACCCUGAUCCAGCAAUGCCGCGUGAAUGAAGAAGGCCUUAGGGUUGUAAAGUUCUUUCACCUGUGAAGAUAAUGACGGUAGCAGGAGAAGAAGCCCCGGCUAACUCCGUGCCAGCCGCCGCCGUAA